AUUGAACGCUGGCGGCAUGCUUUACACAUGCAAGUCGAACGGUAACAGGCCUUCGGGUGCUGACGAGUGGCGAACGGGUGAGUAAUGCAUCGGAACGUGCCCAGAGGUGGGGGAUAACGCAGCGAAAGCUGUGCUAAUACCGCAUGUGAUCUGAGGAUGAAAGCGGGGGACCAGGCAGCAAUGUUUGGCCUCGCGCCUUUGGAGCGGCCGAUGUCAGAUUAGGUAGUUGGUGGGGUAAAGGCCUACCAAGCCGACGAUCUGUAGCUGGUCUGAGUGGACGACCAGCCACACUGGGACUGAGACACGGCCCAGACUCCUACGGGAGGCAGCAGAGGGGAAUUUUGGACAAUGGGCGCAAGCCUGAUCCAGCAAUGCCGCGUGCGGGAAGAAGGCCUUCGGGUUGUAAACCGCUUUUGUACGGAACGAAAAGGCUCUGGCUAAUACCUGGGGCUGAUGACGGUACCGUAAGAAUAAGCACCGGCUAACUACGUG
rnacentral:rRNA from 1 species